GACGAACCGUGCGAACGUUAUUCGGAAUCAUUGGGCUUAAAGCGCGUGUAGGCGGCUGGGCACGUCGAUGUUGAAAGCCCCCGGCUCAACCGGGGAACUGGCGUCGAAACGACCCGUCUGGAGGGGCAUAGGGGGAGCUGGAACUUCCGGUGGAGCGGUGAAAUGCGUUGAGAUCGGAAGGAACGCCCGUGGCGAAAGCGAGCUCCUGGAUGUCUUCUGACGCUGAGACGCGAAAGCUAGGGUAGCGAACGGG
rnacentral:rRNA from 1 species